rnacentral:rRNA from 1 species
GGACAACCUACCCUAUAGACAUGGACAACCCCGGGAAACUGGGAUUAAUCCGUGAUAGGUCAUCUCAUCUGGAAGGAGAGAUGGCUUAAAGGGGUGCGAGAGCUUCUUUCUUGUAUCCGCUUUAGGAUGGGACUGCGGCCGAUCAGGCUGUUGGUGGGGUAAUGGCCCACCAAACCUGUAACCGGUACGGGCCUUAAGAGAGGGGGCCCGGAGAUGGACACUGAGAGAAGGGUCCAGGUCCUACGGGGCGCAGCAGGCGCGAAACCUUCACAAUGCGCGAAAGCGUGAUGAGGUUAAUCCGAGUGGUCCCCGCUGAGGGGAUCUUUUGUCGGCUGUAAAAAGGCCGGUGAAUAAGGGGAGGGCAAGUCUGGUGUCAGCCGCCGCGGUAAUACCAGCUCCUCGAGUGGUCGGGGCGAUUAUUGGGCCUAAAGCAUCCCUAACCUGUUCUGGAAGUCCUCUGUCAAAUCCAACGGCUUAACCGUUGGCCCGCAGAGGAUACCGCAGGACUAGGAGGCGGGAGAGGUGGACGGUACUCCACGUGUAGGGGUAAAAUCCUUUGAUCCGUGGAAGACCACCAGUGGCGAAGGCGGUCCACCAGAACGCGCUCGACGGUGAGGGAUGAAAGCUGGGGGAGCGAACCGGAUUAGAUACCCGGGUAGUCCCAGCCGUAAACGAUGCAAGCUAGAUGAUCCGGUCGCAAAUCGCGAUCGGAGUGUCGCAGGGAAGCCGUUAAG